AUUGAACGCUGGCGGCAGGCCUAACACAUGCAAGUCGAGCGGAUGAAGGGAGCUUGCUCCUGGAUUCAGCGGCGGACGGGUGAGUAAUGCCUAGGAAUCUGCCUGGUAGUGGGGGAUAACGUCCGGAAACGGGCGCUAAUACCGCAUACGUCCUGCGGGAGAAAGUGGGGGAUCUUCGGACCUCACGCUAUCAGAUGAGCCUAGGUCGGAUUAGCUAGUUGGUGGGGUAAAGGCCUACCAAGGCGGCGAUCCGUAACUGGCCUGAGAGGAUGAUCAGUCACACUGGAGCGGAGACACGGUCCAGACUCCUACGGGAGGCAGCAGUGGGGAAUAUUGGACAAUGGGCGAAAGCCUGAUCCAGCCAUGCCGCGUGUGUGAAGAAGGUCUUCGGAUUGUAAAGCACUUUAAGUUGGGAGGAAGGGCAGUAAGUUAAUACCUUGCUGUUUUGACGUUACCAACAGAAUAAGCACCGGCUAACUUCGUG
rnacentral:rRNA from 1 species